rnacentral:rRNA from 1 species
UGGGGAAUCUUGCGCAAUGGGCGAAAGCCUGACGCAGCGACGCCGCGUGCGGGAAGAAGGCCUUCGGGUUGUAAACCGCUUUCAGGAGGGACGAAGCCACUCGGGUUAAUAGCCCAGAGGGUGACGGUACCUCCAGAAGAAGCCCCGGCUAACUACGUGCCAGCAGCCGCGGUAAUACGUAGGGGGCAAGCGUUGUCCGGAUUUAUUGGGCGUAAAGAGCGUGUAGGCGGCCAAGUAGGUCCGUUGUGAAAACUGGAGGCUUAACCUCCAGCUGUCGAUGGAAACCAUUUGGCUAGAGUCCGGAAGAGGAGAGUGGAAUUCCCCGGUGUAGCGGUGAAAUGCGCAGAUAUCGGGAAGAACACCCGUGGCGAAGGCGGCUCUCUGGGACGGUACUGACGCUGAGGAGCGAAGCAUGGGGAGCGAACA